GAGUUUGAUCCUGGCUCAGAUUGAACGCUGGCGGCAUGCCUUACACAUGCAAGUCGAACGGCAGCAUGAUCUAGCUUGCUAGAUUGAUGGCGAGUGGCGAACGGGUGAGUAAUAACAUCGGAACGUGCCCUGUAGUGGGGGAUAACUAGUCGAAAGAUUAGCUAAUACCGCAUACGACCUGAGGGUGAAAGUGGGGGACCGCAAGGCCUCAUGCUAUAGGAGCGGCCGAUGUCUGAUUAGCUAGUUGGUGGGGUAAAGGCCCACCAAGGCGACGAUCAGUAGCUGGUCUGAGAGGACGAUCAGCCACACUGGGACUGAGACACGGCCCAGACUCCUACGGGAGGCAGCAGUGGGGAAUUUUGGACAGUGGGCGAAAGCCUGAUCCAGCAAUGCCGCGUGUGUG
rnacentral:rRNA from 1 species